CGAUGCGAUCAUACCAGCACUAAAGCACCGGAUCCCAUCAGAACUCCGAAGUUAAGCGUGCUUGGGCGAGAGUAGUACUAGGAUGGGUGACCUCCCGGGAAGUCCCCGUGGUGCUUUCC
rnacentral:rRNA from 1 species